AGGCCAUUCCAUAGAUUAUACAUUUCUGAACUUCCUUGGACUGAAAAGGUCUUUGCACCAGUUUUACCCUCAUCUUGUGCUGAUAGUAAAUGGUUAAUUU